rnacentral:snRNA from 1 species
AUCACUUCUUGGCCUUUUGGCUAAGAUCAAGUGUAGUAAAUGUUUCCACUACCUACCGCACAAGAUCGUACGGGAUGCUUU